rnacentral:rRNA from 1 species
CCUACGGGGGGCAGCAGUGAGGAAUAUUGGUCAAUGGCCGUAAGGCUGAACCAGCCAUGCCGCGUGAGGGAAGACUGCCCUAUGGGUUGUAAACCUCUUUUAUGCGGGGGUAAAGGCGUCCACGUGUGGAUGUUUGCAGGUACCGCAUGAAUAAGGACCGGCUAAUUCCGUGCCAGCAGCCGCGGUAAUACGGAGGGUCCGGGCGUUAUCCGGAUUUAUUGGGUUUAAAGGGUGCGUAGGCGGGUCGUUAAGUGUGCUGUGAAAUUUUGGGGCUCAACCAUGAGAGUGCGGCGCGAACUGGAGGCCUUGAGUGCGCUGGAGGCAGGCGGAAUGCGUGGUGUAGCGGUGAAAUGCUUAGAUAUCACGAAGAACCCCGAUUGCGAAGGCAGCCUGCCGAAGCGUUACUGACGCUGAAGCUCGAAAGCGCGGGUAGCGAACAGGAUUAGAUACCCGAGUAGUC